UUUUUUACGGGUUUGACCGGUUUAGGGGUCUCCUAGAUAUUCUCUUAGUUAGAGAACUAUGUCGGUGUCCUUCUCCAAGAAAAUAUGCUCAAUUAACUUUUUAAGUGUUGUAACAGGUAAGUACUUUCUUAAAACAAGUAUAGGUAGACCCGAAAAGUCCCAUUUUACAUUACGUUUGAGGAUUGAAAAGGAUUUAGCCAAGCAAGUUUGAAGUGUUCAACUCUUAUUUUUCAGAUGUUUGUAGGGAAUCCCAAAAGUGUGG
rnacentral:lncRNA from 1 species